AACCUUUGGCAUUCCAGAUGUUGUUGACUACAUCUCCCAUACUGCUCUUACAGCCAUAAUGAUGAUAAGGCAUCAGGGGAAAUGUAGUCCACAACAUCUGGAAUGCCAAAGGUUUC